rnacentral:rRNA from 1 species
GAGUUUGAUCCUGGCUCAGAACGAACGCUGGCGGCGUGCUUAACACAUGCAAGUCGAACGGGAUUCGGAGCUUGCUCCGAUGAGAGUGGCGCACGGGUGAGUAACGCGUGGAUAACCUGCCCUGGUAUCCGGAAUAACAUCUCGAAAGGGGUGCUAAUACCGGAUAAGCCUACGGGGUCUUCGGACUCUGCAGGAAAAUGUGGCCUCUAUUUAUAAGCUACCGUAUCAGGAUGGGUCCGCGUACCAUUAGCUAGUUGGUGGGGUAAUGGCCUACCAAGGCGACGAUGGUUAGCUGGUCUGAGAGGAUGAUCAGCCACACUGGAACUGAGACACGGUCCAGACUCCUACGGGAGGCAGCAGUGGGGAAUUUUGCGCAAUGGGGGAAACCCUGACGCAGCAACGCCGCGUGAGUGAUGAAGGCUUUCGGGUCGUAAAGCUCUGUCAGUAGGGAAGAAAUGGAAACGGUUAAUACCCGUUUUUCUUGACGGUACCUACAAAGGAAGCACCGGCUAACUCCGUGCCAGCAGCCGCGGUAAUACAAGGGCGMMYUCW